rfam:Picea glauca, whole genome shotgun sequence.
AGGUGCGAUCAUACCAACGUUAAUGCACCGGAUCCCAUCAGAACUUCGUAGUUAAGCACGCUUGGGAUAGAGUAUUAUUGGGAUGGGUGAACUCCCAAUAAGUCCUAGUGUUGCACCCU